AGAGGUAACUGUGGUUCAGUGGGAAGAGUAGUCGUUUUGCAAUCGGAUAGUUGUGGGUUUGAUUCCAGCUAUCUCCU